UACGAAGGGAGCUAGCGUUGUUCGGAAUCACUGGGCGUAAAGCGCACGUAGGCGGAUGUGUCAGUCAGGGGUGAAAUCCCGGAGCUCAACUUCGGAACUGCCUUUGAUACAGCACAUCUGGAGUCCGGAAGAGGUGGGUGGAAUUCCUAGUGUAGAGGUGAAAUUCGUAGAUAUUAGGAAGAACACCCGUGGCUAAGGCGGCUCUCUAGUACGGUACUGACGCUGAGACGCGAAAGCGUGGGGAGCGAACAGG
rnacentral:rRNA from 1 species